rnacentral:lncRNA from 1 species
CCCAACACCAUUUCUUUAAAAGCCUUUUCUUUCCCUCAUUAAAUUGUUUUGGCAUCUUUGUCAAAAAUUACCCAUAAAUGUACAGUUUUAUUUCUGGGCUCUGAAUUCCAUUGAUCUAUAUGUCUAUCUGUAUGCCAGUACUUCAGUGUUUUUAUUACUGUACUUUUGUAGUUUUAAAAUUGUGACGUAUCUUCUACCUUUGUUCUUCUGUUUCAGGAUUAUUUUGGCUAUUCUAUAGCCCCUGAAUUUCCAUAUAAAUUUUAGGAUCAUUUGUUAAUUUCUGCCACAAAGGCAGCUGGGAUUUUGACAGUAAUUGUAUUGAAUCUGUGGAUAAACUUGGGGAGCCAUCUUAAUGAUAGUAACUUCAAUAGCAACUUAAUAUUAGGUUGUUUUUAGAUUCUGUCUUUUUGUGGGAUGGUUAUCUUCUCUGUGAUUUUGAUAGGAAAGUAAAUCGUAAUGAAUUUUAUUAAAACUCAGUUGUCAUGGUAACAUAAUCAGCCCUAUAAUGAAACUUCAUCCUUUCCCCCGCCUUUUUUUUUUUAAAAACAGAUUUUGUACUUCUUUAUCAAUUUAAAAAGAUAAACUUGAUAGAUUGGUGGCUUGUUCAAAAAUUUUUUUUUCUUUUGGUAGGAUUUAUGUUUACUGGGAUGGUACCAUACCUGCAAUAAUGGAAAGACUAGCAAACCUUAUGAAAUUAUUUUUAUUAUAUAUAACUUAAAAAAAGUGUAUCACUUCAUGGGCUUGUAAAAGUUUUUUAAAAAAUGUUAAUCUGUCUUCAUUAUAAAAGCCAUA